rnacentral:tRNA from 1 species
AGUAAGGUAAGCUAAACAAGCUAUUAGGUUCAUACCCUAAACAUAGAAGUAAUAAUCUUCUCCUUUCUA